rnacentral:rRNA from 1 species
GGAUUAGAUACCCUGGUAGUCCACGCCGUAAACGAUGUCAACUAGAUGUAGGGGGUGUUGAUCCCCUCUGUGUCGCAGCUAACGCAUUAAGUUGACCGCCUGGGGAGUACGGUCGCAAGAUUAAAACUCAAAGAAAUUGACGGGGGCCCGCACAAGCGGUGGAGUAUGUGGUUUAAUUCGAUGCAACGCGAAGAACCUUACCUGGUCUUGACAUCCCGAGGAUCUCUUGGAAACAAGAGAGUGCUUACUUUUGUAAGAGCUUGGUGACAGGUGCUGCAUGGCUGUCGUCAGCUCGUGCUG